rnacentral:rRNA from 1 species
GACAGAGGGGGCAAGCGUUGCUCGGAAUCACUGGGCGUAAAGGGCGCGUAGGCGGGAUGGCAAGUCGGUCGUGAAAUCCUUCGGCUCAACCGAAGAACGUCGGCCGAUACUGCCGUUCUUGAGGGAUGCAGAGGAGACUGGAAUUCCCGGUGUAGCGGUGAAAUGUGUAGAGAUCGGGAGGAACACCAGUGGCGAAGGCGGCUCACUGGCCCGGUACUGACGCUGAGGUGCGAAAGCGUGGGGAGCAAACAGG